UAAAAGUUUUAUUCUUGCUGAAUAUUUAUUUUAUGAUCAUUUUACAUGUAAGUUUUAGUUUAGAAUUGUUAAUCUAAAUGGUUAUUGGUUUUAUUUUACAGUAAUGUUUAUUACUAUUUUAAAGUAUUUUAGAAGUAGUGUUUCAUAAAUUUCUGGUGAAAAUCGUGCCAGCCACCGCGGUUAUACGAAAAGGAUAAGUAAAUAUUAUUGGUCUAGUAGUUAAUAAAGGAUUAUAUUUAUAAAAGUGUUGGAUUUAUUAGGUGAAAUUUUAAUUUUCUAAUAUUUAUUUUAUAUGAAGCUAUGAAACUUAAAUUUAAAGACAAGGAUUAGAUACCCUUUUAUUUUGAGUGUUAAUUUUGAAACCAGGGUAGUAUUAGUUAAGUUCUUUAAACCCAGAGAAUUUGGCGGUAUUUUAGUCCUUUCAGAGGAAUCUGUCCCUUAAUCGACAAUCCACGAGAGUAUUUACCUAAUUUUGUUUACAGUUUGUAUAUCUCCGUCGUAAGAGAAUCUUUUUAGAGAUUAAUUUUCUUAAUAUAUUAAAUAUAUUAUGUCAGGUCAAGGUGCAGCUUAUAGUUAGGGGAGGAUGGAUUACAAUAAAUAUAUUUAGAUGGAUUAUAUUAAUUAAUUUUUAUAUUAAGGUGGAUUUGAUAGUAAUUUUAAUUAUUUGUUAUUAUGAUUUUGGCUCUAAAAUAUGCACACAUCGCCCGUCGCUCUCAUUUUUAAAAUGAGAUAAGUCGUAACAUAGUAGGCGUACCGGAAGGUGUGCCUGGUAAGUA
rnacentral:ncRNA from 1 species